rnacentral:lncRNA from 1 species
AGUGGCACCAGGGAAACAAGCUUGCCUAGCAUCACACAGCAGCAUAUGUUCAGCUGGGGCCACCGCCCCUUUUGGCUCAGCACAGGUGCAACGCAAAGGAGCUUUGCUUUUCCUGGGCUCAGGGAAAGUUGAAGGCAACCUGAGAAUAGGUGCUUCCUGGGGAACGGUGUUGAACCUAACCCCCUUCCUCCACUCUUUAAAAUCAGACAGGCUCUGUGCUGAAGACCGACACUGACAGCUUUCGGCCAGGAACUUAUCUUUCCCAGCAACAAAGAACAGGUGCCAGCCAUAGCAAUAGUUUCAGACCCGUGGAGUCAGCUGUGCUGUUGCCAACCUCCAUCACCUGUCCGCCUUUAUCCUGGGCUCUGUUCCUGUGGAUUUGAACAAAUAGAUGAGCGGCAUCGGAAGAAAGCUUUAGCUGCAUGUGUUUGGGUGACCACGAGAGGGCAGCACGUAAGAGACCAGUGUCGGCCCCGCUGCCUUCUUGAACACACCGGAAGCCUCCUAGGAAAACUGCAGAUUUUGUCAGACUGUGAAGUAGAAGAGUCAAAGAGCCUUCAUUGCUUCCUUUUAAAUGACCAGCCUACUAAGGAAUUUAGAAUGCCCAAGUAAGGACUGCUGGUCAGACUGGACUUCAAAAUUCCUGGAUCCUUAAGACCCAAUGCAUCAGACAAAUGUCCUGCUGGAUCCUCCCACCGUCAGCUAAGGGACAGUGCUAGCUCUCUGGUGAGGGAGAUCCGUGUGGAGGUCUCUGGCAUUCCUGGGUCAGUGGAUGGCUGGGAGAACUGCUCAGCUCCAGGUUCCAGGGCCUCUGAUCAAAGCCAACCCUGGGGGCCAGCCAGAGAUAUCGCAAACCUAAGGACUAACGUGGAAUCUACACCUGCCUUGGGAGUAAAGAACAAGCAGGGUGCUUUCCGGGAUGGCUUUGGGAUGAGAUGCCCAAGACUUAGUGCCCCUGGCAUUGCUCAGCUCUCAAGCUGACUUCCACAGCACCCCCAUGGAAGCUUCAUUGGUGCAUCUUUGGGUCUUGAAUGCAGUGCUACAAUAUUGACGAGGAAAGUCUCCUUGGAACCACAGGAAGACAAAAGUGCAGAGUGAUUUGCUGGCCUUGGCUAGGACAGGGUCCAGGGUGCAGCCAAGGGAGGGUGAUCUAAGCCAGCCAUUCUCCUAGUGUGGCUCCUGGACUAUGCGCAACAGCAUCACCUGGGAGCUUGUUAGAAACACUGGUUCUCAGUUCCCAUGCAGACGUCUUGCAUCAGAAAAUCUGGGGCUGGGGCCCAGCAAUCAGUGUCUCCAAAGGCCCUGAGAUCAUUCUAUUCAAGUUUGGGAACCAGCAACACAGCAUUUAAGUGGAAAUGUUUAUAGUUGCAAAGCCAGGUGAAGCUUGAAAUGCAUCAUAGAGGAAAUGAGGACAAGAAUGUAGAAAAAGAGUAAAAACAGAGAGGAAAAAAAUUUACAAGCCAUCAUAGAGUGAAAGAGCUUCCCCUGCUGCCUGGGGGUGUGGGAAAUGAGAGUUGCACCUGCUCACAAGUAUGACCAGCAAUUUAAUAUCUAUCUAGAGCUUUCAACCCUGCCAUGUCAAAUUUAUUUAGCUAAAAACAACUCUUGUGGUGGUGACCUUUUAUUCAGCUAAUAUUACUCCCCUCAAUGCCUCCAAAGCACACAGAGAAAUUGGAGGGCUGAUGAAAAUCUUUAAAGUCUACUAAAUACUAAAGCCUUCCCAAACACUGUGUACUUUUCAGAGAGAGUUUCUUUUUAUUGGAAUUUCAGAUUAUUGAAAGGUUAUCUGUCUCCUGUUCCUAGAGGGAUUAAAAUAAAACAAAAGCAAGAAGAA